AGCUCUGAAGUUUAUGACAUUUUGCUUUAUAAAUUCCUUUCAUCUUCUUUACUAGAAAAUCCAGUUGGCCAAUUUCCUGAUUAUACUUGAAAUAAGUUUUUAUUCCCAAAAGGGUUCUUUGGGUUCAAGUCACAAAUGCUGUGUAACUGUUUUAAUCUAGUAAGAGAAAGUAGAAAUUUCUGGGACUAGUUCUGGUUCAGUCUUUGGAUUAAGGCAGUGGCUGCAUUGUUAGUUGUCUUUUCAUCUGGAUCAAACUUCUAAAGGUCCCUUUUUCACUGUUUUUUUUCCCUUGCUCUAAUUCUCUUUUACCGUUAAAUGUUGCUAGAAUAUGCAUAUAGGUGUGAGCCCAGAAUUGUGUCCGUAUUAAACUUUCUUCCUUUUUCCUCAAAGUAAAAAUCUUUCCUCACAAGCUGCUUUUUACUUUCAUUUUAUGUCUGUUGUCUCUUCAUGGGUCUGAUUAGUUGGUAAUUUGGCAGAAAACUCUACGUUAUGGGCUCAAUUUAUCAUUUGUCUGUUUAUGUUUCAUGAUUAGAUCUAGUUAUUAGUGGGAAUUUCUAUUCAUUUAUUUACUUCUUGUGGAGUUUAUGAUGUUGAGCUUACGUGUACAUACUCUUUCAGCACCUAGUUGUUCUCUUCAUGUUACUGGAUGAAAUUCUUAGUUGCUUGCUUAUUUUUUGGUGUUUCUUAACUAUGCCAGUGUAUGAGUUUGAAGUCCAGUUGAUUCUACCAGUUUCUGGGUGGCUGGUGUGCUUCCUUUGCAAAGCAAGGUGAAAAUUGGGGUUUAUGAUGAAUAUAGUUUUGCUCUUGGUGUUGAUGGUUUUCUAUAAUGGAUCUUCUUCUAGUGGACUUGGUACUAAUGUUACUGCAAGACCUGACACCGUGAACAUUGGUGCUAUUUUCCCUUUCGAUUCUGUCAUUGGCGAAAUUGCAAAACUUGCAAUAUCCAUUGCAGUUGAAGAUGUUAAUUCCGAUCCAAAACUCCUCAAUGGAACAAAACUGAUACUCAAGAUUCAGAACAUCAAAUCUAGUGACUUUCUGGGAAUCGUUGAGCAGGCUUUGCAGUUCAUGGAGAAUGACAUAGUAGCCAUACUUGGCCCCCAAUUCUCAGCUACCGUUCGUGUGGUCUCACAUAUUGCAAAUGAGCUACACGUCCCUUUGUUAUCAUUUGCAGCAACAGACCCCACACUGUCUCCAGUUCAGUUCCCUUUCUUGGUUCGGACAGCACAAAGUGAUCUCUUUCAGAUGACUGCAGUAGCAGACCUUGUUGCUUUCUAUGAGUGGAGAGAGGUCAUAGCAAUUUACAUAGAUGAUGAUUUUGGGAGAAAUGCCAUUGCUGCUUUAGGGGAUAAGCUAGCUGAGAAACGAUGCAAAGUUUCAUACAAAGUGCCUCUGAACCCCAAAGCAACAAAAGAUGAUAUUACCAAAGCACUGAUUCGCACAUCUUCGAUGGAGUCUAGGAUUCUCAUCGUACAUAUUUAUACCAAUUGGGGUCUUCAAGUGUUUAGUGAAGCACAAAACCUCAUGAUGAUGGGGAGUGGAUAUGUAUGGAUUGCUACAGAUUGGUUGCCUACCAUAUUAGACACAGAUCCUUCCCUACCAACAAAGGACAUUCAAGGGGUUCUUACAUUGCGCAUGUACACACCAGAAUCGGAACUCAAAACAAAAUUUAAAUCGCGGUGGAGCAAUUUGACAAGAGCGAGAAGAGUUAAUGGCUCUUCUUUCGGGCUAAAUACGUAUGGUCUAUUUGCCUAUGAUUCUGUAUGGCUUCUUGCUAAUGCCAUUGAUUCAUUUUUUGCUCGUGGGGGAAAUGUCUCAUUCUCCAAUGACUCAAACUUAAGCAAUUUACAAGGAGGAAGGUUGAAUCUUGAUGCUUUGAAAUUUUUUAAUUGUGGAAGCCAGUUGCUCCGAAGCAUUGUAGAGGUUGAUACAACUGGUGUAACUGGGCCAAUUAAGUUCAACGCAGAUCGGGACUUGAUUAAUCCUGCAUUUGAAGUCAUCAAUGUGAUUGGCACAGGGACUAGGAAUAUUGGUUAUUGGUCCAAUUCUUCUGGCCUAUCAAUUGACCCUCCAGAAAAGCCCCAAAAUAAGUUGCAGUAUAAUGGUUCCAGUACCAGUAUUCAGCGACUAUACAGCGUUAUCUGGCCUGGACAGACAACUCAGAAGCCUCGUGGGUGGGUUUUCCCUGACAAUGGAAAAAAGCUCAGAAUUGGAGUUCCACGUCGAGUUAGCUACUGCGAGUUUCUGAAUGUGAAAGGCACUGAUAUCACUGGUUAUUGCAUUGAGGUCUUCCAAGCUGCCUUUAACGAGUUGCAAUAUGGAGUGGCAUAUAAGUUUGUCCCUUUUGGAGAUGGGAAAAAAAACCAAGAACCCAGUGAACUUCUGCGCCGUAUGCAAAAUGGUGAGCUUGACGGUGUGGUAGGAGACAUUACCAUUACCACUAGCAGAACAAAGAUGGUGGAUUUUACACAGCCAUAUUUUGAGUCUGGACUUGUUGUAGUUGCUCCAAUAAGGAAAUUGAACUCUAGUGCUUGGGCUUUUCUGAGACCUUUUACCCCAAUGAUGUGGACCGUCACAGGUCUUUUCUUCCUAGCUGUGGGAGCAGUUGUUUGGAUUUUGGAGCGUAGAACAAACGAGGAUUUCCGGGGCCCUCCAAGAAAACAAUGUGUCACAAUUCUAUGGUUAUCUUUUGUAACAUAUACAGGAGAAGAAACUGGCAGCUCUCUUGGUCGCUUUGUGCUCAUCAUAUGGUUAUUUGUAGUUCUAAUAAUCAACUCAAGCUACAUUGCAAGCCUGACAUCAAUCCUCACAGUGGAGCAGCUUUCUUCCCCUAUUAAAGGGAUUGAAAGACUAGUAACAGGCAAUGAUCCCAUUGGUUUCUCAAAUGGUUCCUUUGCUCAAAAGUACUUAACCGAUGAGCUAAACAUACACAGUUCCAGACUUGUGCCCCUUAACUCACCAGAAGAAUUUGAGAAAGCCUUGCAAGAUGGUCCCAAUGCAGGUGGUGUUGCAGCUGUGAUUGAUGAGCGUGGAUACAUGGAGCUCUUCCUCUCCAACAGAUGUGGAUACGGUAUUGUAGGUAAAGAAUUCACCAAAAUGGGGUGGGGUUUUGCCUUUCCAAAGGAUUCUCCACUAGCAACUGAAAUGUCAACCGCGAUAUUGAAACUAUCAGAGAGGGGGGAAAGAUUCAUGACAUGUGGCUGAAAAGAAGUGCUUGCAGCGCAGAAGGAACAAAGCAAGCAGUAGACCGCCUACCAUUGAAAAGCUUUUGGGGCCUCUUUCUGCUAAGCGGCAUAGCUUGCUCUCUUGCUCUCAUUCUUCAUGUUAUUCGAAUCGUGCAUCAAUACUACAAGUAUUCAGAUUCCGACUGUGAGACCUCACAGUCUAGACGUCUUCAAUCCUUUGUUUCAUUUGUAAACAAAAGGGAACAAGAAGUGAAAAGCCGAGCUAAGAGGAGGAGGACAGAGAAAUCAUCAAAUAAAUUAUUGCAUGAAGAUAGCUCCAUCAGUGGUUUGGAGGACCAAAGUGUUUAAUCAGUGUAUUUAAUUAGGAAUGGGACUUGUAUCAAGCUCAUGUAUGUGUAUAAUAUCAAAUAGCUCUUCUAUAUGCAUCUCUGCAUGCUUUGAACAUCUUUGAUGACUGCAAAUUAGAGCAUAAUUGAAUUAAUAAAUCAAAUUAGUACUUAUCUUCCA